rnacentral:lncRNA from 1 species
AGCUCAUGAGCUAAAUCUCCUCAAAUGUGUUGUUGGAAAUUGUAUCCCAAAGUCAAUCGUCAGUCUAUUGACGGUUGAGCUUAUUAUUGUAAUUGUAUAUAAAUUAUUAAAUUAAUAAAUAUUAUUUAAUUUUUUCAUCACUAUGUAUAUCUUAUUUUGAACUCCUAUUAUGUGAUGAAGUCUUUAAGACUAUUUGAUUCGAUAUAGGAAGAAAUAUCAUUUAGU